rnacentral:rRNA from 1 species
UACGGGGGGAGCAAGCGUUGUUCGGAUUUACUGGGCGUAAAGGGCGCGUAGGCGGUCGUGACAAGUCACUUGUGAAAUCUCCGGGCUUAACUCGGAACGGUCAAGUGAUACUGUCGGACUAGAGUACAGAAGGGGCAACUGGAAUUCUCGGUGUAGCGGUGAAAUGUGUAGAUAUCGAGAGGAACACCUGCGGCGAAGGCGGGUAGCUGGGCCGACACUGACGCUGAGGCGCGAAAGCCAGGGGAGCGAACGGG